CACGUAGGCAACCUGCACACAAGACAGGGAUAACUACCGGAAACGGUAGCUAAUGCCCGAUACAUCCUUUUCCUGCAUGGGAGAAGGAGGAAAGGCGGAGCAAUCUGUCACUUGUGGAUGGGCCUGCGGCGCAUUAGCUAGUUGGUGGGGUAAUGGCCUACCAAGGCGACGAUGCGUAGCCGACCUGAGAGGGUGAUCAGGCCACACUGGGACUGAGACACGGCCCAGACUCCUAUGGGAGGCAGCAGUAGGGAAUCUUGCGCAAUGGGCGAAAGCCUGACGGAGCAACGCCGCGUGAGUGAUGAAGGUUUUCGGAUCGUAAAGCUCUGUUGCCAGGGAAGAACGUCUUAUAGAGUAACUGCUACAAGAGUGACGGUACCUGAGAAGAAAGCCCCGGCUAACUACGUG
rnacentral:rRNA from 1 species